CCACCGGCGGCCCGAGUGGUGAUCGUGAUUAUUGGGUCUAAAGGGUCCGUAGCCGGUUUGGUCAGUCCUCCGGGAAAUCUGAUAGCUCAACUAUUAGGCUUUCGGGGGAUACUGCCAGACUUGGAACCGGGAGAGGUAAGAGGUACUACAGGGGUAGGAGUGAAAUCUUGUAAUCCCUGUGGGACCACCUGUGGCGAAGGCGUCUUACCAGAACGGGUUCGACGGUGAGGGACGAAAGCUGGGGGCACGAACCGGAUUAGAUACCCGGGUAGUCCCAGCCGUAAACGAUGCUCGCUAGGUGUCAGGCAUGGCGCGACCGUGUCUGGUGCCGCAGGGAAGCCGUGAAGCGAGCCACCUGGGAAGUACGGCCGCAAGGCUGAAACUUAAAGGAAUUGGCGGGG
rnacentral:rRNA from 1 species